GGGGAUGUGGCUCAAAUGGUAGAGUGUUCACCUAGCAUGUGUGAGGCACUGGGUUCGAUUCUCAGCACCA
rnacentral:tRNA from 1 species